GACGAACGCUGGCGGCGUGCUUAACACAUGCAAGUCGAACGGAAAGGCCCUGCUUUUGUGGGGUGCUCGAGUGGCGAACGGGUGAGUAACACGUGAGUAACCUGCCCUUGACUUUGGGAUAACUUCAGGAAACUGGGGCUAAUACCGGAUAGGAGCUCCUGCGGCAUGGUGGGGGUUGGAAAGUUUCGGCGGUUGGGGAUGGACUCGCGGCUUAUCAGCUUGUUGGUGGGGUAGUGGCUUACCAAGGCUUUGACGGGUAGCCGGCCUGAGAGGGUGACCGGCCACAUUGGGACUGAGAUACGGCCCAGACUCCUACGGGAGGCAGCAGUGGGGAAUAUUGCACAAUGGGCGGAAGCCUGAUGCAGCAACGCCGCGUGCGGGAUGACGGCCUUCGGGUGGUAAACCGCUUUCGCCUGUGACGAAGCGUGAGUGACGGUAAUGGGUAAAGAAGCACCGGCUAACUACGU
rnacentral:rRNA from 1 species